AACGUAGGUGGCGAGCGUUAUCCGGAAUUACUGGGCGUAAAGGGCUCGUAGGUGGCCAACUAAGUCAGACGUGAAAUCCCUCAGCUUAACUGGGGAACUGCGUCUGAUACUGGAUGGCUUGAGUUUGGGAGAGGGAUGCGGAAUUCCAGGUGUAGCGGUGAAAUGCGUAGAUAUCUGGAGGAACACCGGUGGCGAAGGCGGCAUCCUGGACCAAUACUGACACUGAGGAGCGAAAGCCAGGGGAGCAAACGGG
rnacentral:rRNA from 1 species